rnacentral:rRNA from 1 species
UACGUAGGGUGCGAGCGUUGUCCGGAAUUAUUGGGCGUAAAGAGCUCGUAGGCGGUCUGUCGCGUCGGGAGUGAAAUCCACUGGCUUAACUGGUGGCUUGCUUUCGAUACGGGCAGACUGGAGGUAUGCAGGGGAGAACGGAAUUCCUGGUGUAGCGGUGAAAUGCGCAGAUAUCAGGAGGAACACCGGUGGCGAAGGCGGUUCUCUGGGCAUGUCCUGACGCUGAGGAGCGAAAGUGUGGGGAGCGAACAGG